rnacentral:rRNA from 1 species
CAAUAGCAUAUAUUAACGUUGUUGCAGUUGAAAAGCUCGUAGUUGAACUUUUGGUAGGAGCGACCUGGCCUUGGGCGCAUGCCCUUGUUUGCCGUGUGUCGUAUCUGGCCAUCCUUUUCCGUUUCGGCGGGAAUCUUUUACUGUGAGUAAACUGGAGUGCUCAAAACAAGACGUUUGUUUGGUACAUUAAAGCAUGGAAUAAUAAGAUAGGACCUAGUUACUAUUUUGUUGGUUUGCAUAGCUAGGUAAUGAUUAACAGGGACAGUUGGGGGUAUUCGUAUUUAAUUGUCAGAGGUGAAAUUCUUGGAUUUAUGAAAGACGAACGACUGCGAAAGCAUUUACCAAGGAUGUUUUCAUUAA